rnacentral:rRNA from 1 species
GGUGGUAAUACCGGAUGCUCCGCUCCAUCGCAUGGUGGGGUGGGAAAUGCUUUUGCGGCAUGGGAUGGGGUCGCGUCCUAUCAGCUUGUUGGCGGGGUGAUGGCCCACCAAGGCGUUGACGGGUAGCCGGCCUGAGAGGGUGACCGGCCACAUUGGGACUGAGAUACGGCCCAGACUCCUACGGGAGGCAGCAGUGGGGAAUAUUGCACAAUGGGCGCAAGCCUGAUGCAGCGACGCCGCGUGCGGGAUGGAGGCCUUCGGGUUGUAAACCGCUUUUGUUCAAGGGCAAGGCACGGUUUCGGCCGUGUUGAGUGGAUUGUUCGAAUAAGCACCGGCUAACUACGUGCCAGCAGCCGCGGUAAUACGUAGGGUGCGAGCGUUAUCCGGAUUUAUUGGGCGUAAAGGGCUCGUAGGCGGUUCGUCGCGUCCGGUGUGAAAGUCCAUCGCCUAACGGUGGAUCUGCGCCGGGUACGGGCGGGCUGGAGUGCGGUAGGGGAGACUGGAAUUCCCGGUGUAACGGUGGAAUGUGUAGAUAUCGGAAAAGAACA